CGGGUGAGUAACGCGUGGAUAACCUGCCCAGAGGUGGGGGAUAGCUCGGGGAAACCCGGAUUAAUACCGCAUAAUACCGAGAGGUCAAAGGGGGCUCGCAAGGGCUCCCGCCAUUGGAGGGGUCCGCGUCCGAUUAGCUAGUUGGUGGGGUAAUGGCCUACCAAGGCGACGAUCGGUAGCCGGCCUGAGAGGGUGAUCGGCCACACUGGAACUGAGACACGGUCCAGACUCCUACGGGAGGCAGCAGUGGGGAAUUUUGCGCAAUGGGGGAAACCCUGACGCAGCAACGCCGCGUGGAGGAUGAAGGUCCUUGGAUUGUAAACUCCUGUCAGCGGGGAAAAAGCAACCCGACCUCAUACGUCGGGAAGUUGAUUGUACCCGCAGAGGAAGCCCCGGCUAACUCUGUGCCAGCAGCCGCGGUAAUACAGAGGGGGCAAGCGUUAUUCGGAAUUAUUGGGCGUAAAGGGCGCGUAGGCGGCAUGGCAAGUGGAAGGUGAAAUCCCUCGGCUUAACCGAGGAACUGCCCUCCAAACUGCUUUGCUUGAGGCCGGGAGAGGCGAGUGGAAUUCCCAGUGUAGCGGUGAAAUGCGUAGAUAUUGGGAGGAACACCAGUGGCGAAGGCGGCUCGCUGGACCGGUUCUGACUCUGAUGCGCGAAAGCGUGGGGAGCAAACGGGAUUAGAUACCCCGGUAGUCCACGCCGUAAACGAUGAGUGCUUGGUGUAGCGGGUAUCGACUCCUGCUGUGCCGAAGUCAACACAUUAAGCACUCCGCCUGGGGAGUACGGUCGCAAGGCUGAAACUCAAAGGAAUUGACGGGGGCCCGCACAAUCGGUGGAGCAUGUGGUUUAAUUCGAAGCAACGCGAAGAACCUUACCUGGGUUUGAAAUGUAGGUGUAAGCCUCAGAGAUGAGGUCCCCUCUUCGGAGGCACCUGCAUAGGUGCUGCAUGGCUGUCGUCAGCUCGUGUCGUGAGAUGUUGGGUUAAGUCCCGCAACGAGCGCAACCCUUGUCCAUAGUUGCUAACGGGUAAUGCCGAGAACUCUAUGGAGACUGCCGGUGAUAAACCGGAGGAAGGUGGGGAUGACGUCAAGUCCUCAUGGCCUUUAUGUCCAGGGAUACACACGUGCUACAAUGGACGGUACAAAGAGUUGCGAAGCCGCGAGGCAGAGCUAAUCUCAAAAAGCCGUUCUCAGUUCGGAUUGCAGUCUGCAACUCGACUGCAUGAAGCUGGAAUCGCUAGUAAUCGCGGAUCAGCACGCCGCGGUGAAUACGUUCCCGGGCC
rnacentral:rRNA from 1 species